rnacentral:rRNA from 1 species
AACGAACGCUGGCGGCAGGCUUAACACAUGCAAGUCGAGCGCCCCGCAAGGGGAGCGGCAGACGGGUGAGUAACGCGUGGGAAUCUACCCAUCUCUACGGAAUAACGCAUGGAAACGUGUGCCAAUACCGCAUACGUCCUUCGGGAGAAAGAUUUAUCGGAGAUGGAUGAGCCCGCGUUGGAUUAGCUAGUUGGUGGGGUAAAGGCCUACCAAGGCGACGAUCCAUAGCUGGUCUGAGAGGAUGAUCAGCCACACUGGGACUGAGACACGGCCCAGACUCCUACGGGAGGCAGCAGUGGGGAAUAUUGGACAAUGGGCGCAAGCCUGAUCCAGCCAUGCCGCGUGAGUGAUGAAGGCCCUAGGGUUGUAAAGCUCUUUCACCGGUGAAGAUAAUGACGGUAACCGGAGAAGAAGCCCCGGCUAACUUCGUGCCAGCAGCCGCCGUAAGAC